rnacentral:rRNA from 1 species
GAUGAACGCUGGCGGCGUGCCUAAUACAUGCAAGUCGAGCGAACGGACGAGAAGCUUGCUUCUCUGAUGUUAGCGGCGGACGGGUGAGUAACACGUGGAUAACCUACCUAUAAGACUGGGAUAACUUCGGGAAACCGGAGCUAAUACCGGAUAAUAUUUUGAACCGCAUGGUUCAAAAGUGAAAGACGGUCUUGCUGUCACUUAUAGAUGGAUCCGCGCUGCAUUAGCUAGUUGGUAAGGUAACGGCUUACCAAGGCAACGAUGCAUAGCCGACCUGAGAGGGUGAUCGGCCACACUGGAACUGAGACACGGUCCAGACUCCUACGGGAGGCAGCAGUAGGGAAUCUUCCGCAUUGGGCGAAAGCCUGACGGAGCAACGCCGCGUGAGUGAUGAAGGUCUUCGGAUCGUAAAACUCUGUUAUUAGGGAAGAACAUAUGUGUAAGUAACUGUGCACAUCUUGACGGUACCUAAUCAGAAAGCCACGGCUAACUACGUG